GAGGACACAGGUUCUAUCCCUGGCCUCACUCAGUGGAUUGAGGAUUUGGGAUUGCUGUGAGCUGUGGUGUAGGUUGCAGGUGAGGCUUGGAUCUGGCAUUGCCGUGGCUGUGGCAAAUGCCAGCAGCUACAGCUCUGAUUCAAACCCUUGCCUGGGAAACUCUAUAUGCCGCAGGUGCAGCCCUAGAAAGACAAAAAAAAAAAAAAAAAAAANAAGAAGAAAAGAAAAAAAAAAAAAGAAGAAAAGAAAAAAAAAGGCAGAACAAUGGCUUUUCUAAUCGUUCCAGCAGUCCCUACUGUUAGCUUAGCCAACUUAUAUCUCCCUAGACCAACCUUCUACAGGCUAAGGCAGUCCCUGGGGAAUGGGGAGGAGAGAUGUCUGUGUGGGAGAAGGGUCUGUGUUGGCUCUAACUUUGUCUUAUCUCUGGUCCGUGGUCCUGAAGACUCAGGUCCUAUCCCAUAAUCCUACUAACCUCCUAUGUGCCCCUCCUAGCUCUCCCAGGAACCCCUAAGCACAGGGAAAAGGGAGAUACCCUCCCUGAGGAACCAGGUGAGUGCAGCUCCUCCUCUGGGGGCUCAGUGACGCCCCACCUUGUGCAUCAGAAGUGGCUUGUGUGAGUUCUGCUGGGAGCACAGGAGAGGGAGGGGGGCAGUGGGAGGAGGGCAGGGGCUCAAAUCUCUUGGUCAGUUCUGAGACUAACUCCUGGGCUUAAGGAGGACCUCACUGGAGAUGGGGAGAAGAUAUGAACACCUGUCCAAGAUAGAGAGGGGAGGGCCUUGUCCGAGUUUCUGGGGUUAGACCAGCUGGAUAUUUCCAGAGCAGGACAUCAGAGAUAUUUAGGUCUUUCCAUGGAAACUUGGAAGGGCUGGCACAGGACAGGGGUUAGAAAUUGUAAGACUGAGGCAAAUAGAAUUGAGGGGAUAAGAUUCUAGGAGGAAAGGAGAGGGAGGCCAAAGGAAUAAACCCUAGAUUUGCAGCAGAGUGUCCCUCUGUGGAGUGACAGGGAAAGGGUAACCGAGCUCAGCUCUUAGUGGAACAUUAAGGGCAGAUUUUUGGCUUAAGAAAGUGCUGGGGUACUAGGUGCAUUAGUGGUCUUUACUCUGUGGGCAAAGCUUGGCUCUAAUGCCCACUUGUGUAGGUUUAUUACAUGCAGGCCUGGCACUAGCCCUGUCACCAUUGUAUAAUGGAAUCCUUAGUGUCAUUCCUCAUCCUGAGGUUUAGUCACCUCUCGGGGGCAAAUGAGUAGGUUGGCCUGGAGGACCUCUGAGUCCUUUCAGGUCUGACAUUCUGAGGGUCAGUAACCAUCCAGCUCCUGGCCCAGCUGGGAGUAUGUUAAAGGAACAGGAGUAUUCCAGGCAAUUUCCUGACUGUAGGUAAAGCCAGAGCAUAAGGAAACCUGGAGCUUUCUCUGGAAGCUCCCAGACAGCAGAAAUGGACAGGAAAAAGAAGCCUUUGAGGACGCCACCUCUGAUGGCUGGAGUAUGACUCAGAACAGAGCCAACAGCUUUGAGAGCUUGAGCAAAAUGGCCCAGCUGCCUAGCUGCGCUUAGCGCAAAGUCCCUAUGUCCCUUGGCCAGCCCAAGUGGGGAUGUGGACCUGAGUUUGCACCAGGACAAAACCAAUGUAGAAACAAAUCCAAACACAAGUGGACUAACACCUUUGAUGUUUGGUUCUACCUGGCAUAAAUGUAUUUCACCAGGCAUUUAUUUCACAAGAAGGCACUGGGAUUGAUGGUCUCUCAAAAAGCACAACUAGUUUGCUGGGAUUGUUGAGGGAUACAUUAGAAGGAGAAUUCAGGGCAUGGUUUGUUCCAGAAUGUGGAGCGUGGGACACAGAAACUCCUUAUGUCCUGGAGAUGAAUGAAGACACUAGAUGCAUUGUCUCAGACUCCUUCCCCACUUCUUAAGGAAUGCUGCUUUGCAGAUACUGAGGCUGCUUUUUGCACUGGCAAAGUGAGUUUAUUGGCAAAAACAUGAGGAAAUUUGGAUGUGCUUUAGGUGUUAACCAGGGAGAAUAUUCGCUGGCUGGCUUGCUUGCUUCCUUCUCUCCUUCCUUCCAGCCUCCCUUGCUCACUCUCAUUCUCAUGCUUUUUUUCUUCUUGAGGUCAGUGAGUAUCAGGGUCUUCAAAAUUCCAACAAAGAUAUAUUACAUCUGGCUAAUAUGGAAAGGCCACAACUAUGGCUGGCAAAAAUCUGGAUUACUUCACCCUAAUACUGAACACCCCCCAUCUCUUCCCCAAGAUCUCAGAUCCCUAAAGCUGCCUGGUUUGCUCUGAGGAAAACUCAGUGAUUCUCUGAAAAAAAGAAUGCAACACCAGUGACUACUUCCUUUUAUCAGUGUGGCCAGUGGGAGAGGCCAUGUCUAGGAUACUGAGGGUGGGUGGGAAAUGGAGCUCUUGGCCUACAGGCCUGAGUUGGAGUCAGUGGUCCUUGCCUCAAGCCUGGUUUGGGUCUCAGCAGCAGCAUGGGUAGGCCCUAUUCCAUAGCAGUGCCCUGGCUGAUCACUGUUUUUUUGCCCACAGCCAAUCACACUGAUGCUGAAGAGGCUGCCAAAAUUGAGGUGAGCCAUGCCAGCCUCCUGCUUUUUCUUCUCCUUCCUACCCCUCCCUGCCUCCUCUUUUGUUGCCUCCAUUCCUGUGACCUCUCUAUGGAUCCCCCUUACUCCUUUCUGCUUUCUCUAGGCUGAGGAUACAAUCACCUAUUCACUUCUCUUGCAUCCGGAAGCUGCAGAAGGAGAAGCAGAGGCUUCAGAUUACCAGAACCACAUUUAAAUUUCAUUAUCUUGCCUGGGACUUGGGGAAGAGAAUAAGGAUUUGGUGUUUUCUGCCCUGAAUUCCUCUUAGGGAGGAGAAGAGAAUUUCGCAGUUGCAAAGGAAAACGACCCCUCCAGAGUUAUCUACAUGAAUCCUGAAGCUCCCUUUUCUGAAAGCCACAGACAAUACCUUCUCAGAUAACUGACCUGCUGAUUUCUUCUGUGCCUCAGCACUUCUCACCAUUAGGACUCUUCUGUUAGACUUCCACACAGCCAGUGAAAAUUACUUUUAAUAAGAGAUUGUAGCAACACAGGAAAUACUUAUGUUACAGAUGACAUGAGAAAAAUUAUAUAAAUAUACAUGAUUUCAGAAAUGUUGAAACAGACUAACAUAUGCCAAUAUAUUAAAAGCAAUUGUUUCAGGGUGAU
rnacentral:lncRNA from 1 species